rnacentral:rRNA from 1 species
CGACCGCUGGCGGCGUGCUUAACACAUGCAAGUCGAACGGAAAGGCCCUGCUUUUGUGGGGUGCUCGAGUGGCGAACGGGUGAGUAACACGUGAGUAACCUGCCCUUGACUUUGGGAUAACUUCAGGAAACUGGGGCUAAUACCGGAUAGGAGCUCCUGCUGCAUGGUGGGGGUUGGAAAGUUUCGGCGGUUGGGGAUGGACUCGCGGCUUAUCAGCUUGUUGGUGGGGUAGUGGCUUACCAAGGCUUUGACGGGUAGCCGGCCUGAGAGGGUGACCGGCCACAUUGGGACUGAGAUACGGCCCAGACUCCUACGGGAGGCAGCAGUGGGGAAUAUUGCACAAUGGGCGGAAGCCUGAUGCAGCAACGCCGCGUGCGGGAUGACGGCCUUCGGGUUGUAAACCGCUUUAGCCUGUGACGAAGCGUGAGUGACGGUAAUGGGUAAAGAAGCACCGGCUAACUACGUG